CCGCAGCCCUGCGAGCGGCCCCGGGGUAUUUUCCGCUCCUUCCCGCCGCGCUCCAUCACUCAGGCGGGGCGGUGGGAGGGACGGCCUGAGAGGCCGGUCUUCCGCCGCCUCCCUGGGCGCCUGAGCGGGGAGGGCCCGGCACCUGCUUCCCCCGCCCGCCCCUCGGUCCGGGGGGUGACGUGCGGCAGCCGCAGCUCCCGGGCGGGAGGGGCGGCCCCGGUAAAGGGAGAGACGGCGCUGCCGCCGUUCCGCGCCUUGCUCGGGGCACGGAGUUGAUGAUUAACCUGCGGUUCAUUGAAUACCUACCUGGCUCAAGUCGCGCCCAGGAUGUGGUUUAACCUUGUCCGAGGUUUCGGUACCUCGGGUUUUGCCUUUCUGCCUGAGACCCUGGUGCUGCCAGUUUUGCUGCUACCGAAGCGCUGCGGGGAUGUGCAGCUCCCCGUUGAAAAUCUCUGCUGUUAAUAUCAGCCUAGACUUCGCUUUACAGUCGUUUUUAGAGGUUUGAGGCUCCAGAGGUCGAGGUGAUGUGGGACUCUCGGUCUCGGCGAGCAUUUUUGCAGCAGCAGCAGCAGCAGCAGCAGCCUCGGGCUGCAGUAGCUGGCACUUGAAUCCAUGUUGGCUCCUUUUCCUCGGGCGUGAGCUGCAAGGAGCUCAGCAGCUUCGGCAUUUAGUCCCAUUUGGGGAAACGUCUGUCCUUUGUGAGGAUGCCAGUACAGUUACAGCCACUGACACUAUACGUGACCAGAGGCUCCAGUUUCUGGCAUCUCUUUCUAUCGUCAGGAAAGUAGUUUCACAUCUCGGCCAAAACUCAAACCCAGUCAUCUGCUUUUUAUAUGGCAGCAGCGCCUAGCAAGGUGUGGACAUAUCUGUCUUGAUAGGAUGUCAUGAGAGCAUCUCCUUGCAAUUUGUUUCUCUUCCCUCAGACAAGGUGCCAGCACAAUGACUUGUUCCUUGGUAGUCAGUGAGAAAUUGGUGAUAAGAGAGGAAAUCUCAAAAUUACUGCGUGGAUAUAGUUCAAUUUCUUCAGAUUAUCUGUAAAUUUUCAAUAAUGGCAAUACAUUCAUUCUGCCAUUUGGAGGAGCCUGUGCCACAGAAUAAUGAUCUGAAGAAAGCUCACUUAUUUGCAAGGAAGAGUCUUCAUUUGGGAAUUAGCACCGAUGCAGCUAAGAGGUGCUUCCUCAAGUUCAGCAGAACUGUUAUUGUUUCCCCUCUGGUACGUGGACAAAAGUGGGUUUUCUUCACAGAUCAGGAUUCCUGUACCUGAAGAGUAAGAAGAGACAUUGUCUUUCAUUGCAACUUGCUGUGGACUAACUUCCUACUGUAUCAUUUAGUCCUGGAGACAUCAGCUGUAUAUAUUCCCGCCCUCCAACCUUGUUUAUCUGCUUUACACAUAAAGGAAACCAUUUUGGUAGGUGUGGGUUGCUUGUCAGAAAUCUGUUCCAAAGCUAGAGUGCGAAGCAAGAAGGGUGCUAAUGAUGAAUACGAAUGGAUAUCUUAAGGAUAACAAUGGACACGGCAUCUUCAAAAGCAGUGGCAUUCUGGAAUUUUCCAUGUUUAUUAUUGUCCACAUUUGAACCCUAUCCAGUUUUUUAGUACCCUUUUGGAGAAGGGGUGACCUGUACCUCAUAUGGGAUUUUCUUUUUCUGCAAUAAGCAUGUUUUUGGAGACCCUGAGAAUUUCUUAGCAUGUAAGAAAUUCUGUAUGUGUCCUGGAUCCCCCUAUACCUUCCCAUUGCUCUGAUUCUCCCUUCUCUUCAUUUGCUGUGUGGAAUUGUCUUGAAGAUUUGCCCAUGAUUCACACUGGGGAGAAAAUAGCUGGUGCCAGCCAUGAACACAAUCCAGCUCUUUGUUAUAGGAUUGAGGAAUUUAGGAAAUACCAGAGUUGAAGUUGAUGCACAUAGCUGUGCAUCAUAUACCAGAUAUUUAGACCCUAAUCCUGCCACUGGAUUUGUUCAAAUGGACCUUGAUAGCUGUGGGGCCUGACUGAGUUGAUGGGACUCCUGGAUGACUGCAAGCUCCUACUCUGAAGAUCUGAUUGUAGGCCUGAACCUAAAUUUCUAUUUCCUUCCCCUGUCUACCUGCUUCUGAUUGAUGAAAAUUAUCCAGAAAACUGUAUUGUCUUUGAGUCUUAUGCACAUCACUUUAGUAGCAUUCAGAAGCUGUGUGCUUGGGAUGUUGUCAGACAUUGUUAAAAUAUUUCUGUUCCGUCAUGUGCCAAUAUCUCAUGAUUGUUCUGAUUGUUGUGUUAUAUUUUUACAUUUACCGUCUUCCUACCUAAAAUGGAGAUCAUCACCUGUGUUUUCGGUCAUUGUGGUAUUUCUCUUAACUCAGAUUUUUAAGUCAGAGUAACUGUUAAAACUAUUCAGAACUUUUUUCAAGAUGUGGGUAGAUUUGUUUUUCCCUUGGCGGACACAGAGUAUAUCUAUUUUAUUUUGCAAACUUAGUAGCCUACUAGUACUGAAAGCUUUCAAUAUGAUGAUACUCUAAUGCAGAUCAAUAAAAUAAGUAGGAAAAGGCAUUAACUUUUACUAGAUCUCCUGUUGCUUUUCUAUUUCUGUGGCUGUGAUUACAUGACAUACAGCUGGGAGUGAGGAUAUUUUUUUUUUUUGUGAGCCAGUGAAUAUCUUUUGAUUACACUGAGUGCUGUUCCCUGUGUAUUCCGUAUGACCAUGUUGCAGUUUCACCAAGUACUAAAGUUAUAGCCCUGAUAGAAGCUGGAAAGGACUUUGCAAAAUCACAUUAAAAGAGUUCGAGAGGGAAAACAGAUCUGUUUCAUCUCUAUGCAUCUUAGUAUUUAUUUUGUGUAUUUUUUAAAAAACAAAUACGUAGCAAUAUGUGAUAAUUAACGUAUUAAAAGAUCAGAACUUUCUCAGUAUAUAGAGAAUGAGAAAAAUCUUUUUUGUUUUGUUGGUUUAUUACAGUGCUUCUGUAAGCACUGUAAGCUAAGAUCUUCACAGUAUUUGAUGAAUUUUCGCAUAUUCCCAGAACAACAGAAAAGCACCACUGUCCUGUUUGACCAAGGAGAAAAUUGAGCCACUUGUUCAGUCAGUAGUAAAGUCAAUGAUAUUAAUUGGGUUCUCCUGCCUUUUAACCUUUUGCCUCUGGCUCCAUUUCUCCCUCAAGAGCCAAACCUUCCAUUAUCAUCAUCUGUUUUGCAUUUCUGUGUGAAAGGCCCAAGGUGUUACGGUUUGGACUCCCAGAAAAUGAGGAAGACAAGGUUGGUGGCCAUCUGCCAAGGUGCUUGGUCUGACUUGCUCCUUGCUCACAGAAGCCGAUGGCAAAGGCAGAACUGAGUGUUCCUGUGUGGCAUUCAACUGCCUUAACCACAUGCCCAUCGCUCUCUUCCUGUAGUUGUCUGUCUUGUUCUUUGCAUAACUCCUAGAGCAAACACAUAUACCAACCUAUAAAUAAUCUAAUUCGAUACACAACCCUGAUUCAUUUCCUGAGCUGCAUGUCCUGCAUACACAGGGUGGCCGCGGUCCUGCGGAAAAAUUCAGCAGGGUGCAUGAGGCUGAAUACUAAGGCUGUUAAGUAUUUAAACUUUGCAAUGAAAUGGCGUUCCUUUAAUGUAGCUUAUUAUAGAUAUAGCUUGAAGUAUUUUUAACAAGGAAGAAGAGAAAAAUGAAGGCUUUUAGAACUGAUUGUAACAGUUUCCCUGUCUGGCAUGUGGACAUGAAUAUCCAGCUCAGUGAAAUACAGAACAUCAGCCAGUGGGAGGAGGCUGGCCACCUCUGGGGAAGAAGGGAAGGAAGAAGGCUGGGUAGUAAAUGCCAUGGGUAUACCCAGUUUACUUUCAAGUCUUGGGGAAUAUUUGUGUGGCAUUGACCCUAGCUUUUUAGCUUUUGUUUUCUUUUCAGGAGAAUUGCUCCUUCAGAAUUGCUCAGUGCUGUAGACAUUGGGGGUGUUCCUGCAGCCUGCUAAUAAUUUAAAUGGAGAAACAGAAAUCAAAGGUGGGCUUUUCUCCUGUGUUCUUCUGUUGGAAAAUAAGAGGAGAUGCUCCCGGAGUCUCCCAGUUCUCUCCUCAAUGAAUUUCAGGGGCGAUCCGUGUGAUCUUUGAUUUCACUUAAAUAAUAGAAAAUACUGCUCUCGACUUGCCCCUUUAGUCUUCUUCCCAGUCAAAAUGUAGUGGCCUGCUGUGUUUCUAAGCUACCAAGGUGUGUAGGCUCCAGUGCCAGAGCAGUCUUGUUGGGAAUCACAAACCUAUGUCUCUAUCUUUUAUGUUAGACUUUAUUAGGAGGAUAAGUUUUUUUCAGAGAAAUCUUGCCAGACUGUGGGUUCAGUUUCAGUUUUUGUUAAUGUCUACCUUAUCUGUCGAUGGCACUUGAGAUUUGUCACCAAGCUAGUGAUUUGCUUUGAGGAAAACAGAACAAUCUCAUACUUUGCUUUUGCAUGCUUUUCCCUAGGAUAUGCAGUCUUUCCCUAGGAUAUGCAGUCUUUCCCUAGGAUAUGCAGUCUUUCCCCACAGCAACUUCAGAUGUCCUGUAAACAGCUCAGGUGGGGAUCCUAUUAGGGAAAAUUUGUUCAACCCAUUCACUGAAAUUCAUGAAAAUCAAAAUGCUUGCAAAAGGGUAUCAGUUCCACUGUCAUUUUGUUGCAAAGAAAAAAUGAACCCCCUGCUUUUAACACUGCGGUUUUUUAAUAAGUGUCAGUUUUCAUCAUUUCACAGCUGUAUAGAAAUUGUGGGAGCAGGAUGAAACAGUCUUGAUACAAAAGAAUCACCUUAAGCCAGUAUCUCAAGUCAACACUUUGUAUCGUGAAACCAUGGCCUGAAACUGCUGCCUGUCAUAUCAGAUAAUAUUAUCAUUGAUUUAUUAUGUUACUUCAUUUGUAACCUUUUGGCAGCGAUGGGGGUUUUUUCUGUUUUGUUUUUUUUUCCUCUUGGUUUUGGCAUUGGGGUUCUUUUUUGGAGAGGAGUGGGUGGGUUGGGUUGGUUUUUUUUUACCAGCACCUACUUGAGCCCUGAUCCAUGACUUGGCUUCCAGGUACUAGGAUAAUACAAGUAGUAAUCAUGCCUGCUGCUAAAAAUUUUCUAACUUAUUUCAUUUGCAUUUGUUUGCCUUCAUCUUCCAGUCAUGGAUUCUUGUUAUUCCUUCUCUGAUGGAUUAAAGAGCUCUUUAGGACUCACUAUUUUCUCCCCAGGAAGGUGCUUUUACCCUGUAAUCAAGUUACUUCUCAAUUUUUUUUAUUUUUUUUUUUUAUGAAACAUCUAAACAGAUUGAGUUUUUUAUGGUUCUUAAUUUUUUUUUUCUCAUUCUCAGAUGAUUUUUGUGGCUCUUUUCUAUCCAUUCUCUAUUUUUUCUUUUAAAAAAAGAGACAUAAAACUGUAUUUUACUAGUCACAUAUACAGAAGUAAAAUUACUUCUCUGGUUUCUCUUGUGUUAGUAUGGUUAGAAAUUGAUGUUUUUGCAAGGUUAGAUAAAAUAACUACCUGAUAUGAGUUCUACAUGUCUGAGUGUAAUUAUUAGAGGACAGAAAAUGAUGUAUUGUUUUAAAAACAUUUAAAUGUUUUUCAAUGUUUUAAAAUGAUCCAAAAAUCAGCAAGAGUGGGUGUGUAGAAGGGGUUGCAAAAUAUUUGUGUGAGGUUUUUAAGGAGAUAGAAGUGAAAUAAAAAUAAUAAUCUUAAUUGUAAA